AUAGCUCAGUCGGUAGAGCAGAGGACUGAAAAUCCUCGUGUCGCUGGUUCGAUUCCUGCUCGAGCCACCA
rnacentral:tRNA from 1 species